UACGUAGGUGGCAAGCGUUGUCCGGAUUUAUUGGGUUUAAAGGGUGCGUAGGUGGCCCUGUAAGUCAGUGGUGAAAUAUCUCAGCUUAACUGAGAGGGUGCCAUUGAUACUGCAGGGCUUGAGUACAGUUGAGGUGGGCGGAAUGUGUCAUGUAGCGGUGAAAUGCUUAGAUAUGACACAGAACACCGAUUGCGAAGGCAGCUCACUAAGCUGUAACUGACACUGAGGCACGAAAGUGUGGGUAGCAAACAGG
rnacentral:rRNA from 1 species